rnacentral:misc_RNA from 1 species
UCCGAGUUGACCCCGGCAGUCUCCUAUGAGUCCCCACCAUCACGUGCUGGCAACAUAGGACGAGGGUUGCGCUCGUUGCGGGACUUAACCCAACAUCUCACGACACGAGCUGACGACAACCAUGCACCACCUGUGCACGGCCCUUACGGACCCCCCAUCUCUGGAGGAUUUCCGUGCAUGUCAAACCCAGGUAAGGUUCUUCGCGUUGCAUCGAAUUAAUCCGCAUGCUCCGCCGCUUGUGCGGGCCCCCGUCAAUUCCUUUGAGUUUUAGCCUUGCGGCCGUACUCCCCAGGCGGGGUGCUUAAUGCGUUAGCUUCGGUACGGAAAGGGUUGAAGGCCUCCCCACACCUAGCACCCAACGUUUACAGCGUGGACUAC